CAAAGGAAGCGAUUCCGGCAACGGAUGGGCAUGCGUGACAUUAGCUAGUUGGCGGGGCAACGGCCCACCAAGGCGACGAUGUCUAGGGGUUCUGAGAGGAAGGUCCCCCACACUGGUACUGAGACACGGACCAGACUCCUACGGGAGGCAGCAGUGAGGAAUAUUGGUCAAUGGGCGCGAGCCUGAACCAGCCAAGUCGCGUGAGAGAUGACGGCCCUACGGGUUGUAAACCUCUUUUGUCGGGGAGCAAAUUCCGCCACGCGUGGCGGAGUCGAGAGUACCCGAAGAAAAAGCAUCGGCUAACUCCGUGCCAGCAGCCGCGGUAAUACGGAGGAUGCGAGCGUUAUCCGGAUUUAUUGGGUUUAAAGGGUGCGUAGGCGGACUGUCAAGUCAGCGGUAAAAUACGGGGGCUCAACCUCCGCCCGCCGUUGAAACUGACGGUCUUGAGUGGGCGAGAAGUAUGCGGAAUGCGUGGUGUAGCGGUGAAAUGCAUAGAUAUCACGCAGAACUCCGAUUGCGAAGGCAGCAUACCGGCGCCCAACUGACGCUGAAGCACGAAAGCGUGGGUAUCGAACAGGAUUAGAUACCCUGGUAGUCCACGCAGUAAACGAUGAAUGCUAGCUGUCCGGGGCGAAUGGGCCCUGG
rnacentral:rRNA from 1 species